GAUGAACGCUGGCGGCGUGCCUAAUACAUGCGAGUCGAGCGAAUGGAUUGAGAGCUUGCUCUUAUGAAGUUAGCGGCGGACGGGUGAGUAACACGUGGGUAACCUGCCCAUAAGACUGGGAUAGCUCCGGGAAACCGGGGCUAAUACCGGAUAACAUUUUGAACCGCAUGGUUCGAAAUUGAAAGGCGGCUUCGGCUGUCACUUAUGGAUGGACCCGCGACGCAUUAGCUAGUUGGUGGGGUAACGGCUCACCAAGGCAACGAUGCGUAGCCGACCUGAGUGGGUGAUCGGCCACACUGGGACUGAGACACGGCCCAGACUCCUACGGGAGGCAGCAGUAGGGAAUCUUCCGCAAUGGACGAAAGUCUGACGGAGCAACGCCGCGUGAGUGAUGAAGGCUUUCGGGUCGUAAAACUCUGUUGUUAGGGAAGAACAAGUGCUAGUUGAAUAAGCUGACACCUUGACGGUACCUAACCAGAAAGCCACGGCUAACUACGUGCCAGCCGCCGCCGUAA
rnacentral:rRNA from 1 species